CAGCAGUAAUAAAUGCAUUUUCAUCUUCUCUUAACGUUAAAGCUUCAGCCUGCCUUGGAUGAAGUGAAGUUUGUUUCUAUCACAAUUCCCAAGCAAGAGAGGGAUGUUCUGUUUCCUAAUUCCAGAGAUUUUUCGCCCUUUGGAUUAAAUGCAUUUCUGACUAUGCUACAAAACAGCAACGAUUUAUAUCAAACGAGCAAUAGAAAAGGCAAAUGGAAAGAUACAGUGGAUGAUAAAAAGGUGUUAGAGUAAAUAUAAGGGUCUCUGCUCUGGGCUGAUGGUGAUUUGGAAGUGAAGACACAGGUCACUGGAUCAAAUGUAAAUUGUACAGAGCAUGCUCACUCUUGCUUACUUGGUAGCUUCCAGAAGUGGGCUGAAAGUGGCACUUAGAUCUAUGAGGCUCAGAACCUGUGGAUAUCUUGGGGAGAAUGUGUGGCUAAAUGAGUCAUUACUCUUGAAUUACUUACCUUGAAGACAGGAUACUGUGGAAAAGCUUACCAAGUCAAUGGGGCUCAAGGUAUUUGUUGACUAUAUUUUCCCACUUUCAAGAGCUGUCAAUCUGACAUGAG
rnacentral:lncRNA from 1 species